CAGCACCUCAAGUGGUCAGGAUGAUUAUUGGGCCUAAAGCAUCCGUAGCCGGCUCUGUAAGUUUUCGGUUAAAUCUGUACGCUCAACGUACAGGCUGCCGGGAAUACUGCAGAGCUAGGGGGUGGGAGAGGUAGACGGUACUCGGUAGGAAGGGGUAAAAUCCUUUGAUCUAUUGAUGACCACCUGUGGCGAAGGCGGUCUACCAGAACACGUCCGACGGUGAGGGAUGAAAGCUGGGGGAGCAAACCGGAUUAGAUACCCGAGUAGUCC
rnacentral:rRNA from 1 species